rnacentral:misc_RNA from 1 species
GAUGAAGAACGUAGCGAAAUGCGAUACGUAAUGUGAAUUGCAGAAUUCAGUGAAUCAUCGAAUCUUUGAACGCAUAUUGCGCUCUCUGGUAUUCCGGAGAGCAUGCUUGUUUGAGUAUCAGUAAACACCUCAACUUCCAUAUCUUUUUUGAAAUGGGAGUUGGACUUGAGUGAUCCCAACGCUUUUCCUCACCGAAAAGUGGCGGGUUACUUGAAAUGCAGGUGCAGCUGGACUUUUCUCUUAGCUAUAAGCAUAUCUAUUUAGUCUGCCUAAAAACAGAUUAUUACCUUUGCUGCAGCUAACAUAAAGGAGAUUAGUUCUUGUGCUGACUGAUGCAGGAUUCACAAAGACAGGCUUCGGCCGACUUUGUAAACUCGAUCUCAAAUCAAGUAAGACUACCCGCUGAACUUAAGCAUAUCAAUAAGCGGAGGA